GAAGAAACUAGCUAGAUAAGAGGGCGCAAUAUUGAUUAAUGCAUGCAAUAUUGUUCCGAUCGAUCGAGUAUAAAUUGGCCUGUAACCCUAUACACAAGACAAUUGAGAGAGAAAUUAAGCGACUAGUACUUGAUCUGUACAUUUGUACUACUGCAAGCAAAGUUGAUCAGGCAUAUAUAUAUAUAUAUGGCAUCUCAGCCUCAGGCAGAUAAGCUUGUCAAGGUUGGGUUGGAAGGCUUUGCUAUAAUAGACAAAGUCUACGGCGCCCGACCCAGAAGGAGAUCAUGAGCGAGGUUCCUGCUCAGAUGAAAGAAGCUCAUCAUGUUACCAAAAACAACAUGCAGAGUGGCAACAAUAUUAUUAGGGGCCAAAAUUCCCCCGUGAUGAUCAUCUAUAGCGAAGCUAAGUACUUCUAAUGAAGAUCAGACUGUACGUUAUCUGUCAGGUUAUAUACAGCUUAUAACUAGCUAGGCUGCUUCUUCAUGUAUUUUCUUUGGGUUUCCCUUUUUCCGUUCACUUACUUAUAGGAGAAAGGGAAUGCUACUCCUGCUGUAUUGAUGACAUGAUGUAACAUGGGUCAGAUGGCAUGGGAGCGAGGCGUACGUCCUACAUAUAUAAAGUAAUAAGCUUGUGGAAUGAAUAUUAGGAUACCUUGUAUUUGA